UCUCGAUUGACUUAAAUCCGCACACGUUUCGACACAUUGAUCUGGGUGCUGUGUUCUGCUUCUGCUACGGUGGUUUUGGUUCAUGGUUGAUUAAUGGGACUCGUGGAGGUCUAAC
rnacentral:sRNA from 1 species